CCUACGGGUGGCUGCAGUGGGGAAUCUUCCGCAAUGGACGAAAGUCUGACGGAGCAACGCCGCGUGAGUGAAGAAGGUUUUCGGAUCGUAAAGCUCUGUUGUUUGAGACGAAUGUGCAGACUUUGAAUAAGGGUUUGUAAUGACGGUAUUAAACGAGAAAGCCACGGCUAACUACGUGCCAGCAGCCGCGGUAAUACGUAGGUGGCAAGCGUUGUCCGGAAUUAUUGGGCGUAAAGGGAGCGCAGGUGGGAAUGUAAGUCAGUCUUAAAAGUGCGGGGCUCAACCCCGUGAGGGGAUUGAAACUACAUUUCUUGAGUGCAGGAGAGGAAAGUGGAAUUCCUAGUGUAGCGGUGAAAUGCGUAGAGAUUAGGAGGAACACCAGUGGCGAAGGCGACUUUCUGGACUGUAACUGACACUGAGGCUCGAAAGCCAGGGGAGCGAACGGGCUUAGAUACCCCGGUAGUC
rnacentral:rRNA from 1 species